CAGUCGCCGCGGGAAAACGGAGGGUGCAAGCGUUAAUCGGAAUUACUGGGCGUAAAGCGUGCGUAGGCGGUUCGUUAAGUCUGUUGUGAAAGCCCCGGGCUCAACCUGGGAAUGGCAAUGGAUACUGGCGAGCUAGAGUGUGUCAGAGGAUGGUGGAAUUCCCGGUGUAGCGGUGAAAUGCGUAGAGAUCGGGAGGAACAUCAGUGGCGAAGGCGGCCAUCUGGGACAACACUGACGCUGAGGCACGAAAGCGUGGGGAGCAAACAGGAUUAGAUACCCCAGUAGUCCCUGUCUCUUAUAC
rnacentral:rRNA from 1 species